GAUGAAGAACGUAGCGAAAUGCGAUAAGUAAUGUGAAUUGCAGAAUUCAGUGAAUCAUCGAAUUUUUGAACGCACAUUGCGCCCCUUGGUAUCCCGAGGGGCAUGCCUGUUCGAGCGUCAUUUCACCACUCAAGCCUGGCUUGGUGUUGGGCGACGUCCCCUUUGGGGACGCGCCUCGAAACGCUCGGCGGCGUGGCACCGGCUUUAAGCGUAGCAGAAUCUUUCGCUUUGGAAGUCGGGGCCCCGUCUGCCGGAAGACCUACUCGCAAGGUUGACCUCGGAUCAGGCAGGGAUACCCGCUGAACUUAAGCAUAUCAAUAAGCGGAGGA
rnacentral:misc_RNA from 1 species